GAUGAAGAACGUAGCGAAAUGCGAUACGUAAUGUGAAUUGCAGAAUUCAGUGAAUCAUCGAGUCUUUGAACGCACUGCGCCCCCUGGUAUUCCGGGGGGCAUGCCUGUCCGAGCGUCAUUGCUGCCCUCAAGCACGGCUUGUGUGUUGGGCCUCCGUCCUCCUCCCGGGGGACGGGCCCGAAAGGCAGCGGCGGCACCGCGUCCGGUCCUCGAGCGUAUGGGGCUUCGUCACCCGCUCUUGUAGGCCCGGCCGGCGCUUGCCGACACAUCAAUCUUUUUUCCAGGUUGACCUCGGAUCAGGUAGGGAUACCCGCUGAACUUAAGCAUAUCAAUAAGCGGAGGA
rnacentral:misc_RNA from 1 species